AGAAAAUCACUAUAUUUGGAUAUAUUUUCUCCUCAAAAGGGUUGUGUGCCAUAGAAGCAGCUUUGGAACAAGGUGAGCAUAAUAUUUAGAUAUUCCUUUUGGCCUCCCAUGUUUUUUUUUUUUUUUCUAAAACUUUACCCGAAUUUCCUCCUAAUUCGAACAUAUCAAAACACAAAUCGCCUCCUAUUUAAGGACCUUAAGGUCCGCUCAAACUUAAUCGGUAACGGUGAUGUUAGUUUUGAAGAUAUUUAUUUCGCUUUAUUUCCGCGUGGACCAUUUAAUCGAAGAAAAAUAUUUCACCAAGCAGUGAAUAGUCGACAUUGUGAAAUCUAUGCGUAGUGUAACAAAUUAAUACAGUUUUUUUUUCAAAUCGGGAGUGCUAUAUUAUAUUAUAUUAUAAGAUAUUCUUUUACAGCUUUUAUUAAUUGUUCUAUUUUAUUUAUUAUUUGUAUUAAAUUUAGAAAACUACUUAUAGCAUUCACAAUGUAUAAUGGAAAUUUAACUGUUAGGUACCUAUUUAUUAUGAUUUUGGAUUUGUUGUUGAAUAUUAAGUUAAAGUAUAUUAUUAUGAAAUUUACUGCUAAACUUACUAAUAAUAAAAUUUCAAUAUGUGUACAUAAUUGAGAAUUUACUGUUGAUUAUCGCAGCCAAUGAGUUUAAAAUUUUCGAAUUUGGGUUAAUUAAAAUUAAAAUUAAGUUUAUUGAUUUUUUAAAUAAAUUAUACAUAAUUUUUUUUAUGUCAUUUUUCAAAUUUAAUUUAAAUCCUUAUCAAGUAAAAAUUGUUUUACCUUUUUUGCUAAUAAAAUUUAUUUGAUAUAUUAUGUACCUACGUAUUACUAUAAUGGUUGUGCAUACAUAACUCACUAUGUUGAUCUGAUCGCUGGUGAUAUUGAAUACUAUUUCAAAUUGAUAAAUUUAUUAAUCUUUUUAGGAAAUACUAUAAAUACCUAUUUUAAAACAUUACAGAAAUCGAUAUAUUAAUUAUUACCUAAUGUAUGUAUUGGAGGCGAUUUGAGUAGAGAAACCUACUUAGGUAUGUACUAAAAUAGCUCCUAAAACAUUUGGAGCAAUUUGAGUAAUAAAAGUUCACUUUACUAAAUUUGGCAAGCAAUUUGUAUGCGCACAUUCCUCAUUUGAUAAAAAAGAAUAACAUAUUUUUCCAUAGGUUUAGAAGUAACUGCACUGGUUAGAGAUCAAAGUCGUAUGCCCGAAAAGCUCCGUAAAUAGGUGAAAAUGGUCAUGGCUGAUGUUUUGAACGAACAGGAUGUGGAUAAGGUUGUUAGAAGAAGCAAUGCAAUCAUUGUGACUUAAGGAACCAGAAGUACUUUAUUAAUUAUAUUUGAUUUAUUUAAAAUUACAUAAGUAAUAUAGUCUGUGUAAACCUUGUAAAUAUAAUUUAAAUCACUUUUGCAGCCCCUACCACUAUGAUGUCUGAUGGAUUGAUGAAUAUUUUGCGGACAAUGGAAAAGAACAAUGUGAACAUUUUAUCCUUGUGCUUAUCCUGUAAUUAUUUGUUAAUUUAUUUAAUGUUUGCUAUUUAUUUGUACCAUUGUAUAUUAAAUAUUAUUUUCUGACAAAGUUCCAGAAAGAUACCAAGGAAUCAUUGAUGAUCAUGCGCGUAUGUUACAUUCACUACUGUAGUAGUUACCCAAAAAACCUGAGAAGUUGAAAGUGAAAGCUGAUUACAAAGAAGAACUUCAAUUAUGUGCAGAUAAAUCCGAAAAUAUGAAUGACUUUGGCGUGGAGGGAGUGGAAGGUCGCCCUAAGGCUUCUAAAAAACAGCAAAGCCGCAGGCGAAGAUGGUAUUCUAUCAGAAUUCCUCAAACAUAUGGGCAUUAAAGGGAAAUUUUGGCUAGCAAGCCUUUUUCAUCAGUAAAAAAUAACAACACAUUGCUAAACAAUGGCGGGAAGCUAAAGUAGUUGCGAUAUUAAAAUCUAGUAAGCCUGACGACGACCCAAAAAGCUACAGACAGAUUUCACUGUUAUCUGUUGUUUACAAGCUAUUUGAAAGAGUACUCCUAGUAAGAAUCCAAAUACAGUGAAACUUCCAUUUAACGAAAUAUUUUUAAGAACUAUGACCUUCAUUGUUAAUUACACAUUUAAUUACACGUUUUAUCUCCAAAUAACAAAUCUGAUGUUUCUAUAUAACGAAAUAAUUAUUCGAUAAAAACCAGUUUUUAUAAAUGUUGUCACUAUCAAAUUGAUAGUUUAUGUCAUAGUUCUAAAAUUGUACAUGAACAAUGUACCCGGUAAAGAUAAGACAUCGAAGGUAGGCAAGCUGAUUAAUUUUACUACAGUACUUCAGUUCCAAUAUUGAUGCAAACAAGUAUGAAUUUUCUUUCGUUUUCUCUUCGUCUGUACAAAAAAAAUGUCGAAACAUAAAUGUUUAUCUAUCGCCGAUAAAUUUGAAAUUUUAAACGAAAUCGAUAAAGGUGUU